rnacentral:rRNA from 1 species
GACGUAGGGGGCAAGCGUUGUUCGGAAUUAUUGGGCGUAAAGCGCUCGUAGGCGGGACAGGAAGUUCGUGUUGAAAGACCUCGGCUCAACUGAGGGACCGGCUCGAAUACUCUUGUUCUUGAGGCAAUCAGAGGGUGAUGGAAUUCCCGGUGUAGCGGUGAAAUGCGCAGAUAUCAGGAGGGACACCAUUGGCGAAGGCGGCACUCUGGGCCGGUACUGACGCUGAGGAGCGAAAGCGUGGGGAGCGAACAGG